CCCCUUCCACAGGCUGAUAAAUCCGCCGUCCACCCACCGGGUCAGGUGGCGCUGGCAACAGAGGAGCCCUGAUGGACCUACCCCAUCCCCCCCCAAAGGCCUUUCUUUUGCUUGUCCAAAUCUCACUGUUCAUCACCUUUCUCAUCUUUCUCCUGUUUUCACUGCUGCAGUUUGCCCAACCCUCCCUUCUCCAAACUCCUGGAGAUUAUUGGGGCCAAUCCUCUCUCUUUGGAACUGGAGUAGCUGAGACAGAGAGGCGAGGCUGCUUGCCCUUGGUCACACAGCUGGCUGGGGCUGAGAGUCAGGCCCACAGACUCCCUCACUGGGGUUCUAAACUUCUCAAGGGCGGGGUACAUUUCUUAUCCUCCUUUCCUAAUACAGAGGAAAAUCGUAGUAGGCAUGAGCAAAGGGCAUCACGUGACAGGCACUUUACAUAAUGCAUCAGUUGGAAUUAGGAUUGGCUACACGGGCUGGAAGACCCCCAGUGCUAGAGGUUUGAAUUAGAUAGGAAUUAAUCCUCUUUGAGGUAGGCAAUCCAGGGCUGUGACAGGGACCCAGGCUCCUGCCGUCGUCUGGCUCUGCCUUUCUCAGCACUUGAAUUUCCACCUCUUGAUACAAGAUGACUGCUCAAGCCCCAUGCAUCCCAUCUGCAUUCCAGCCAACAGGAAGCAGGAAGUUUCAGAGAACAAUGGUGCACCUCUUCCCUUUAAGGACUUUUCCUGCAAGAUGCACAUGACACCUUCCCUUCUUCCCACCAGGUAGAAUUUAGCUACAAGGCCAAACCCAGGAGCAGGGGAAGCGGGAGCAUUGGAGCUUCCUCAAAGCUCCCAGGCUCACUCCCACCUCAGGGCCUUUGCAUUCCUGUUCCUCCUGCCUGGGACACUUCCCCAGACAUACCCAACAUUCCAGAAACCCCACAGAACAUUUCAACCGAUGACACUUUACACCCCCUUCCUUUGAAGCUCUGUAGAACUACCACGUUCAGACCGAACAUAUAUUUUACUUUAUCUUGUUUACUGGCUGCGUCUUCUCUAGAACGUCAGCUCCCUGAAGGCAGGGAUUUUGGAUGGUGUCAUUCACUGCUGUGGCCUCAGUACCUGGCACACAGCAGGUGCUCAGAACAUACUUUUUAAGCCAGUGAAUGUUGGGG